rnacentral:rRNA from 1 species
GUGGGGAAUAUUGCGCAAUGGGGGAAACCCUGACGCAGCAACGCCGCGUGAUUGAAGAAGGCCUUCGGGUUGUAAAGAUCUUUAAUCAGGGACGAAACAAAUGACGGUACCUGAAGAAUAAGCUCCGGCUAACUACGUGCCAGCAGCCGCGGUAAUACGUAGGGAGCAAGCGUUAUCCGGAUUUACUGGGUGUAAAGGGCGCGCAGGCGGGCCGGUAAGUUGGAAGUGAAAUCUAUGGGCUUAACCCAUAAACUGCUUUCAAAACUGUUGGUCUUGAGUGAUGGAGAGGCAGGCGGAAUUCCGUGUGUAGCGGUGAAAUGCGUAGAUAUACGGAGGAACACCAGUGGCGAAGGCGGCCUGCUGGACAUUAACUGACGCUGAGGCGCGAAAGCGUGGGGAGCAAACAGGAUUAGAUACCCGUGUAGUCC